rnacentral:rRNA from 1 species
AUUAAACGCUGGCGGCAUGCCUUACACAUGCAAGUCGAACGGCAGCACGGGGGCAACCCUGGUGGCGAGUGGCGGACGGGUGAGUAAAGCAUCGGAACGUAUCCUGGAGUGGGGGGAUAACGUAGCGAAAGUUACGCUAAUACCGCAUAUUCUGUGAGCAGGAAAGCAGGGGAUCGCAAGACCUUGCGCUCUGGGAGCGGCCGAUGUCGGAUUAGCUAGUUGGUGGGGUAAAGGCCUACCAAGGCGACGAUCCGUAGCGGGUCUGAGAGGAUGAUCCGCCACACUGGGACUGAGACACGGCCCAGACUCCUACGGGAGGCAGCAGUGGGGAAUUUUGGACAAUGGGCGGAAGCCUGAUCCAGCCAUGCCGCGUGAGUGAAGAAGGCCU